rnacentral:rRNA from 1 species
GGAUUAGGCAUGCAAGUCGAACGAGAACGGUUCCUUCGGGAACUAAGUAAAGUGGCGGACGGGUGAGUAAUGCAUGGACAACCUGCCCUCGAGAGGGGGAUAACUUCUCGAAAGAGUAGCUAAUACCCCAUAACUGUGCGCUGAUAGAAGUUGGCGCACCAAAGAUAGCCUCUGAUUCAAGCUUUCGCUCGAGGAGGGGUUCAUGUCCUAUUAGCUAGUUGGUGAGGUAACGGCUCACCAAGGCGACGAUGGGUAGCCGGCCUGAGAGGGUGACCGGCCACACUGGGACUGAGACACUGCCCAGACUCCUACGGGAGGCUGCAGUCGAGAAUCUUCCGCAAUGCGCGCAAGCGUGACGGAGCGACGCCGCGUGGGCGAUGAAGGCUUUCGGGUUGUAAAGCCCUGUUGUCUGCUAUGAAUGGCGGGUGGUGAAUAGCUAUCCCGUCUGACGCCAGCAGAUGAGGAAGCACCGGCUAAAUACGUGCCAGCAGCCGCGGUAAUACGUAUGGUGCGAACGUUGUUCGGAAUUACUGGGCAUAAAGAGCUCGUAGGCGGUUUGGUAAGUCUGUUUGUGAAAUCCCUCGGCUCAACCGAGGAACUGCAGCGGAUACUGCUGAACUGGAGUGCAGGAGGGGAGAGUGGAAUUCCUGGUGGAGCGGUGAAAUGCGUAGAUAUCAGGAGGAACGCCGGUGGCGAAAGCGACUCUCUGGCCUGCAACUGACGCUGAGGAGCGAAAGCCAGGGGAGCGAACGGGAUUAGAUACCCCGGUAGUCCUGGCCCUAAACGAUGGGCACUAAGUAGAGGGGUUUU